GUGAGUAACACGUGGGUUAUCUGCCCUGUACUUCGGGAUAAGCCUGGGAAAUUGGGUCUAAUACCGGAUAUGACCUUCGGUUGCAUGACCGUGGGUGGAAAGAUUUAUCGGUACAGGAUGGGCCCGCGGCCUAUCAGCUUGUUGGUGGGGUAAUGGCCUACCAAGGCGACGACGGGUAGCCGGCCUGAGAGGGCGACCGGCCACACUGGGACUGAGACACGGCCCAGACUCCUACGGGAGGCAGCAGUGGGGAAUAUUGCACAAUGGGCGAAAGCCUGAUGCAGCGACGCCGCGUGAGGGAUGACGGCCUUCGGGUUGUAAACCUCUCUCUACAGGGACGAAGCGCAAGUGACGGUACCUGUAGAAAAAGCACCGGCCAACUACGUGCCAGCAGCCGCGGUAAUACGUAGGGUGCGAGCGUUGUCCGGAAUUACUGGGCGUAAAGAGCUUGUAGGCGGUUCGUCGCGUCGUUCGUGAAAACUUGGGGCUCAACCCCAAGCUUGCGGGCGAUACGGGCGGACUAGAGUACUUCAGGGGAGACUGGAAUUCCUGGUGUAGCGGUGAAAUGCGCAGAUAUCAGGAGGAACACCGGUGGCGAAGGCGGGUCUCUGGGAAGUAACUGACGCUGAGAAGCGAAAGCGUGGGUAGCGAACAGGAUUAGAUACCCUGGUAGUCCACGCCGUAAACGGUGGGUACUAGGUGUGGGUUUCCUUCCACGGGAUCCGUGCCGUAGCUAACGCAUUAAGUACCCCGCCUGGGGAGUACGGCCGCAAGGCUAAAACUCAAAGGAAUUGACGGCGGCCGGCCCAAGCCGCCGAGCAUGUGGAUUAAUUCGAUGCAACGC
rnacentral:rRNA from 1 species